GGAAAUUCUAGCAUUUUUUCUAAUAACAGGUGUUUGUUUUUGUUUUUUUUCCCAGCUUUUUUCGAUGGACCCCAUGCUGGGACCACCUCUGGGUUAUUGUUGGGCCGCACGUGUCCCGCGGCCCGCCAGCUGAAUAACAUUGCAGUCCACCAUGUGCCAUACAGAGCAGAGAGCGUCCCGUUAGUGGGACCUCCUCCCUACAGAGCAGUGCAGGUGCAGGUGUGUGUCAGAGAGGGCUGGGCCUCACCUGCUGUGGGGGUGUGUUCAGACGGAGGCUCAGUGAAAGCAAGCUGGGCGGACAUUUCACUCAUUUCUCCGUCCACUCUGACACUUUACCUACACACACCUACCAGGAGAGCUGCACCUGUCGGACACAGAGUGCUUUUCAGCUGGGAUUUACCUGUUGGUCAUCACGUUGUCCCCAUGGUCACUGCUGUAUCCAUUACCAUUAGCUAAACCACAACCAUGAGGAAAGGACCGCUACACUUUCUGGGUCGGAAGAACCAGUCCCUCUUCGACACCAGUGUCAAAAUGCAGGACAUGGGGUCAGAAAACAUGGCGCUUGUGUUGGACUCGCCUGCCAUCCUGGAGUCGGGUACAGCCAGUGUGCGAGCCAGGCCAACAGUCAACCACCAUUCUUCCUCAUUUGACAGUUUUCAAGGUUUUGCAGUCCCGGUGCCAAAGGUUCCUGUCCUUCCUCCUACAAGUGGUCUAAGGAUCAACGGUUCAGCUGGUGGAAAUCAUUCUUCUAAUGGAUCCAUCAUAUCUGUGCCUGAUCUUGAAGAAGGAGAGAUAUUUGUUCCUCCUCCUCCUUCUGUGGCACCUCCACCUCCUCCUGGGACCUUUAUACUUCCUCCCCCUGAUUUCAUGGGAGACCUUAACAGUCCAGAGCUAGCAAACCUUCAGCUUCCUUGCAUACCAGCACCAGUUGAACCUAACAUGUUGGAAAACGAUAUAUCCAUCCCAAACCCACCAGCAAUGGCUCCACCAAAAAUUCCAUCCAAUGGCUUUGCAUCACCCACCCCCAUUUAUAGUCUACCAAAUGCCAAAGUUCCUCAGCAUUCAUAUGUUCCAUCUCAACCCACUCUCGAAAGGUCCAAGGGUUACAAGACACCUCCUGCAAAGCCAACAAGAAUGUCCUCUGUCUCAGACUCUCCACCUCACAGUCCUGCUCCCCCACCGCCUGCACGCACAGCUACACUCUCCACCUUCAAUCCUCAAAACGCUGCAAAGCUCUAUGAUGUUCCAAAGACCAUAUUCUAUCGUGGUCAAGAGGAUUAUGAUGCAAAGCCAAGGCAGAAGUUACUCCUGGAGGAUUCUGGGUAUUAUAACGCACAGGCACAGGUUGAUGGGAAAGGAUCUCUUCAGGAGCCAAAGGAUAACCUGCAAUUUCCCAAACCAGUCAAAAUACCCCCUGCUACAGCACAGAAACCAGUAUCUCCACUGCACAGUUCUCAACAGUUACUUAAAGGGAACAGUCUUCCGUCAAAGUUAGAUGCCAAAACAGAGAAACUCAAUGUGCCUCAGAGCCACAGCCACAGUUACAGCCCAUUAUUGGACCGUAAACUACGUGAUCUGAAGGAAAGUGAAAACAGUCCUUCACGAGAGGGACAUGUAGCUUCUCCACUGGCUCUUUUGAAGGCAGCCAAAGAAAGGGAGAAACACAGAUCUGUAAACUCUUUGCCACACGAAGACAAGAGCAGUGACCGCCUGAGUGCAAGCAUUCAUGAGUUAGGUCCCAAUUUGUUAGUUGUUACCCCCAGGUCUGGGUCUUCCUCAUCGCUUUCAUCAUCAGAAGUUAGGCUACAAGAAAGCCCAAAGUUUUCAUAUUCGAGGGAACAUACACAAACACUUCAAUCACCGGAAAAAAACGGAAGUUCUACGCUGGUUAAGGGUCAGACGCCAUCUUCUCUGUUAGAUUUUAGUCGAGGGUCUGCAGCUAAAUCCCCAAAUGAGAACAAUGUGUUUGAGCAACAGCAAUAUGCAACACAAAGACCAACAAAACUGCAACCUUCACAACAACAGGAGGUAAAAGAGACGUUGAAUAUACCGGUCCUUCCUCCACCCCCUGAAUUUGAUGACGUUGGGUUCAUGGAGCCGCCCCCAAAAAUCCAACCUCCCGACCCUCCAUCCAAAAAGCCUUCAAUGCCAGUAUUGAGCCCUUCACCGCCUGCUUCACUUCCACCACCUCCUCCAAAAUCAGCACCCUCUCCCCCAAAACUGGCACCCCUUCCUCUACAACCAGCACCCCCUCCUCCACCAAAGCUUCCACCUCCAGACUUUAAUAUUAAACUAAAGCCACAUGCCCAGACGGCUCCAAAGCUGGCUCCUACGCAUUUGCCAUCCCAUCUCUCUCCCAGUCAGGUCACCCUCCUGAGCAUCUUACAAAAGAAGAUGUUGGAAAUGGACCACAAGAUGCCCCAGCUAAAAGAAGCUGAUCCCAGUUCUGAUGACUGGGGAACCAAUUUCCCUGAAGAGGAAAAUGCCAUACCUGUUAGAAGCAAAACUAAACCACCACCCAACAAGCCCCCUGCUGUGAAUAAAUCAGCAACACUUGACAUGAGGGAGUUGGAAAACAAAAUGAUGAGAAAGCCACAAGAGUCUUCAACAUUGAAAAGUCCACCCACCAGCAAUGGACCACAGCAGCAGUCAAAGCAUCAGUACGGUAUGACUUUUACAGUUCGGCCUGGAACCAAAAAUCCAAUAAGUGUUGUUAGGAGAGAAGAUCCUUAGAGAUCUUUGCAGUGCCAUUGCACAAUACACAUGAAUGUAUAACUGUACAUUAAUAGAACGUGGUAAUUGUGGAGACAAACUUCUGAAUGAAACCUCAAAACCAACCUGUAAGUUAAAUUAUAAUUGUAUAAUAUUAUAAUUAUCUGAACAAUAUUUUAUGUCCCAUUUCUGUGUGUUACACUUGUUACCUGCUGCUAUACAUCUUACAUGACUUAACUUGGUUUCAACUAUUAAUCGGUCGAGUUGCUUUAAAUAUGUGGGCUUUGAUUGUUAAUAAUUCAUAAUCAUAAAAUACAACAGUUCCUGAUGUCAUUUUCAUUGUUUAAUCUGAUGCCUUAUUAUAUAAAGACUAUUUACUGUUACAUACAUCUUGUAUAAGUUAGCUGAAGCAGUUCCAACAAUCAAAAGGAAAUUCACAGACUUUUUCUGUUUUGCUUUCGUUGAUGAAAAAAAUAUUUUUCUAUUACAGUAGACUUUGUAUUAAUGUGAUGACAUGUAUCAUCGUGGUACAGUAUUCUUUUAAAAUGUUUGCAACCAACAUUUAACUUGGUAAAUAAACUCACCAGUCCACUUGGUUUACCA
ensembl:lncRNA extensin-like